UCAGUUUUUUUAUUUUAUUUCAUAAUCUUAUAUAGUAAUAAACAAAACCCAACCACUUCAUAGCAUUAAUUUUUGAGUUGGCGAGUCAUAGUGGAUAAUAAACUCCUGUCAAUCAAAAUGAGGAGGCGGUAAAAACUACAUUGCCCCCUCGGUUUGGUGUCAUGCGGCGGCAGGAUUUCAUCAUGAAGGCAUUGUGGGAGUUGCAGUGUGCGUGAUUUGGCCCGGACACUGCGGUGGCAGGAGGACCGCUGGGUGAAACAUCAGGGCGGAGCUUCGUCUGCCUGCCAGAUGGAUGCCUUGUGAACUUAAAGGCAAAGUAAUCAAGUUGAACAUAAAUCGCUUCACCCAGGCACAUAUCGGACGCCACCAUACGUCCAGGCGCGCAGUAGCCCUCCUCUGACCAGACAAACAUGGCGUGCUCGACCAGGCGGUAGAUAGAAAAGUAAACCUUCUCCAUUCUCCCGAGAGGUUUCUGUAAAUCUGUGAGGCAAGUGCAUUGAUCUGUUCGGGUAUUAUAUUUGUUUCUGUCGGGGUCAGAUAAGCUUGAUUAAGUGUGAGCUGUGGCGCGGUGCUGCUGCUGCUCUACACGCGUGCCCUAUUUCCCCUUUAAGAGCGCGAGCUCGGCGUGGAGGGCGGGGUCAAAAGCCCACGAGCGCAUUCCAGCAAAUCAAAGCCACCGACCUCCACAGCGAGGCGUUCGAUCGUCAAAGGGGCGGGGCUUGGUGUACAGGAGAGAAAGACGUGUGCGCGGUUUCCAAGGCAACAGCUCGUCUUGACCUCCGUGUCCCCGUUUUCGUCAGGGAAGGCUGGUUUCCAUGGAAACGAUCGUAUCUCUGCGCGCGCGGCUUGCUUCCCGUAAAGUGAUCGGGUCGGAAAGCGGCCCGUUCUUCCAGAAAUGUGUCGGAAAAUCCUAAAGAGGAGGAAAAAAAAAAGAUGGCGGUUCUCGAGAAACAAAUGUAUGAAAAAGCUUUCAUUAGCCUUCCCAUGUGCUGGGGUAUAGAUGUUGAGGUGCAGGGAACUGAAAGUCCGAUCUCUAUAUCCCAGGUUAUAAUUAAAUAUUUAUUAAUUUAAUUAUUUAAUUUUAUUAAUAUUUUAAUAUUUAUUUUGUUAUAUAUGUAUUUAAAAGGCACACUAGUUUUUGACAGCAGAAAUCCACACUAUCUGAAGGUUUUACAAAUUACUUUAAUUAAUUCUAUAUUUCUGUGAAAGUCUCAAAUCUGCUUUAUUUUUUUAUUAGGCUUCUUAUCAGGAGGUGAGUUUUGUUUGGCCCCGCCUCCUUACCUACCGCAUAGUGUCAUUUCCACAUCUGCUUGAAAUCCUCUUUCAAAUUUUAGCCUUCUGCAGAUGUGCAAAUGUUCUCAUGACCAUGAACUUUGGUCUGAUUUUUUUUCUCCCCAACUCAACAUCAAAAAAGUCUGUUCCUUUUAUUUGCUUUUGUUUUAUUACUCUCUCCAGCCCACAUGUUCGGAGCAGUCGCACUGACACAUUCAUUCAUUUUCUGUAAAAUAUCUUAAAUACUACAUGUCUCUGGGAUCUGUAAAUGGAUAUAAUCUAUUUAUUAGUCUGAAAGAGUAAAAUGGAUGUACUAUUACAGCAAAUGAAUCAACUGCGGGGUGAUGUGAAAAGUCAGGCCUGUUACCACGCCAGAGUGAAUUAUUUUCCAAUAACGAAACAUCUCAGAGUGUUUUAUUCCUCUAUUACCACAGCGAUUGGCCAAAGAUAAUAUAUUUUUAAUUGUUAAAGAAUGACACGUCACACUUUUAGAUAUUUUUAUUUGUGAAAUAAGUUAGUUCUUGUUAUCACGUAUGUUAUAGCAGCUUUAAACUGUUGCUCUCUGUUUUUUCUUUCUUGCUAAAAUAUGACAGUAAAAAAAAUGCAGCUUAUGUUACGGAGAAACUGGAAAGACUUGUGCUGGAAAACUUACAAGCUGCUUCAACUUGCUGACUCUUUAGAUAAAUGUGAAAGAAACAUCUACAUACAAAUUUCACAUAUCAACAAUUAUGCUUAACAAUGAACAUGUUUUUUAUUAGUUUAAUUAUGUUCAACAUACACAUGUCUUCCAUUAGUGACAGAGGGGCAUAUCUAGAAAAUAAAUCAACAUUUUCUUACAAAUCAGAUAAGCAAAUUCAACAGUGCUGUUUUUUUACGCAUCUCUAACAUGUUGGCUUUUGUGUAUAAUUCUGAUAAUUGAGGAAAAAUGGAAUAAAACGGAUGAUGUUCUGUA